rnacentral:lncRNA from 1 species
AUGUUUAUGUGUUUGCUCAGGUCGAUUUCUCACUUUAUGUUCAUUGUCUCCUUUAGCGAGCAGAAGGAGAAGUUUCAGAGCUGUUUUAUUGCAGAUGGUGCCCUUCAAAGAAAGCCACUUAGAACCAGCCCAAAGCUCCUGUCCUCACUCAUCCUGACUAUAAACUCGCUGGUUGUCAUGCUACAUUCGGCCUCUAGAGGCGCUCCUCUCGGCAGUUGAAUUUGGGAUUGAGGCUGGGCCCCCUUCUGCCCUGACAUAGAGCUCAGCCUCCAAAGUCUAAGUCUCUCCCUUACCCUCCAGCUUUGUUUAGAAAGAUGAGCUCCAGGACUCUCAUGUCCUCUUUUCCGGGCACGCCUGAGCUGUUUCUUUGGGGCAAAACCACUGCAUUCAGUUACAAAACUACAGUUGAUACAAAACAGGAGAACUCCAUGGACCUAGACUUGGUGAUGGUGUCUUACACCAGAAUCCAAGCAAUAACAGAGACCCUGGACUUAAGAAAAAAGCCUUAAGCCGGCUGUGGUUGUGCUGACCUGCAGUCCCAGCGCUGGGGACAGGCGAGCAGGAAGAACAUGAGUGUGAGCCCAGCCUGGGCUGGAGAAGUGGCUCCUGAGGAAGAGCACUUACUGUUCAAACAGGAGGAUAAUGACCAUAAUCCCUGUGCCCAGGUAAAAAGCCUAGCGCAUCUGUGCUGUCUGUAAGACCACCUUUCUGUCCCUCGACAGAAAAUGUCACCAUCCCUUUCAUGCCUAUUAUGCAGACACUCUUCAUCCCUCCCCCAACCCCUGACAGUCUUCCCUCCAUCUUUACAAAUCAUCUGUUCUGGAUAUUUUGUGUAAACAGCACCAAGCAGUGCACACCUUCUGGGCCUGGCUUCUUUCACAUAGUCUAGGGUGCAUGCCAAGUUCUGACCAUUCAGCACUUUGUUCCUUUUUAUAACAGAACCAUGUCCCAUUGUAACCUGACUUUAGGUGAAUCAGCCUUCCCAAGAGGGCUGUCUCUUGUCCAGGUGAUUGACAGACCCAACUAAACUAAC